GGGGAUAUAAUAUAAAGGUAGUAUAUGGGUAUUGCAAACCUAAAGAAAGAGUUCAAUUCUCUUUAUCUCCA
rfam:Smittium culicis strain GSMNP scaffold-9575, whole genome shotgun sequence.